GGGUAGCGUAACACGUGAGCAACCUACCGAUUUGUGGGGGAUAGCCGGCCCAACGGCCGGGUAAUACCGCAUACGCUCUUUGGGCUUCAUGGCCUAUUGAGGAAACCUCCGGGGCAAAUCGAGGGGCUCGCGUCCUAUCAGCUAGUUGGCGAGGUCACGGCUCACCAAGGCGACGACGGGUAGCUGGUCUGAGAGGAUGGCCAGCCACAUUGGGACUGAGAAACGGCCCAG
rnacentral:rRNA from 1 species